rnacentral:rRNA from 1 species
UAGCGACAGGCUAACACAUGCAAGUCGAGGGGCAGCACGGGAGUAGCAAUACGUUGGUGGCGACCGGCGCACGGGUGAGUAACGCGUAUGCAACCUACCUAUCAGAGGGGAAGUAACCCGGCGAAAGUCGGACUAAUACCGCAUAAAACAGGGGCACCGCAUGGUGAUAUUUGUUAAAGAAAUUCGCUGAUAGAUGGGCAUGCGUUCCAUUAGGUAGUUGGUGAGGUAACGGCUCACCAAGCCGACGAUGGAUAGGGGAACUGAGAGGUUGGUCCCCCACACUGGUACUGAGACACGGACCAGACUCCUACGGGAGGCAGCAGUGAGGAAUAUUGGUCAAUGGGCGGGAGCCUGAACCAGCCAAGUCGCGUGAAGGAAGAAGGAUCUAUGGUUCGUAAACUUCUUUUGCAGGGGUAUAAAGUGCAGGACGUGUCCUGUUUUGUAUGUACCCUGAGAAUAAGGAUCGGCUAACUCCGUGCCAGCCGCCGC